rnacentral:misc_RNA from 1 species
UACGGAGGAUGCAAGCGUUAUCCGGAAUGAUUGGGCGUAAAGAGUCCGUAGGUGGCUGAUCAAGUCUGCUGUUAAAGAGCGAGGCUUAACUUCGUCAAAGCAGUGGAAACUGAAGAGCUAGAGUGUAGUAGGGGCAGAGGGAAUUCCUGGUGUAGCGGUGAAAUGCGUAGAGAUCAGGAAGAACACCGGUGGCGAAAGCGCUCUGCUGGGCUACAACUGACACUGAGGGACGAAAGCUAGGGGAGCGAAUGGG